GCCGAGGUGGCCCAGCCCGAACGGCGCGAGCCUGGAGAGCUCGUGAGACUAUUGUCUCUCGGGAGUUCAAAUCUCCCCCUCGGCG
rnacentral:tRNA from 1 species